rnacentral:rRNA from 1 species
GUUAAAAAGCUCGUAGUUGGAUCUGUGUGCCACGCUGUCGGUUCACCGCCCGUCGGUGUCAACUGGCAUGUCUGUGGGACGUCCUGCCGGUGGCGGUACGGGCUGUUGCGUAAGGUCGUCCCCGAAGCACGCCGGCGUGUCCCGGUCCGCCGAUCCAAUCCCGCCGCGGUGCUCUUCACUGAGUGUCGAGGUGGGCCGGCACGUUUACUUUGAACAAAUUAGAGUGCUCAAAUCAGGUCGUAUUUAGGCCUGAAUACUGUGUGCAUGGAAUAAUGGAAUAGGACCUCGGUUCUAUUUUGUUGGUUUUUUGGAAUCAGAGGUAAUGAUUAAUAGGGACAGUCGGGGGCAUUCGUAUUGCGACGUUAGAGGUGAAAUUCUUGGAUCGUCGCAAGACGAACCUAAGCGAAAGCAUUUGCCAAGUAUGUUCCCGUUAAUCAAGAACGAAAGUUAGAGGUUCGAAGGCGAUCAGAUACCGCCCUAGUUCUAACCAUAAACGAUGCCAGCCAGCGAUCCGCCGAAGUUCCUCCGAUGACUCGGCGGGCAGCUUCCGGGAAACCAAAGCUUUUGGGUUCCGGGGGAAGUAUGGUUGCAAAGCUGAAACUUAAAGGAAUUGACGGAAGGGCACCACCAGGAGUGGAGCCUGCGGCUUAAUUUGACUCAACACGGGAAACCUCACCAGGCCCGGACACCGGAAGGAUUGACAGAUUGAGAGCUCUUUCUUGAUUCGGUGGGUGGUGGUGCAUGGCCGUUCUUAGUUGGUGGAGCGAUUUGUCUGGUUAAUUCCGGUAACGAACGAGACUCUAGCCUGCUAAAUAGACGCCGGUAUCACAAUUGCUACCGGCGAAAUCAAUAUCUUCUUAGAGGGACAGGCGGCUUUCAGCCGCACGAAACUGAGCAAUAACAGGUCUGUGAUGCCCUUAGAUGUCCUGGGCCGCACGCGCGCUACACUGAAGGAAUCAGCGUGUACACCCUGGCCGAAAGGCUCGGGCAACCCGUUGAACCUCCUUCGUGCUAGGGAUUGGGGCUUGCAAUUGUUCCCCAUGAACGAGGAAUUCCCAGUAAGCGCGAGUCAUAAGCUCGCGUUGAUUACGUCCCUGCCCUUUGUACACACCGCCCGUCGCUACUACCGAUUGAAUGAUUUAGUGAGGUCUUCGGACUGGUGCGCGGCGGCCGCCUGCGCGGCCGCCGAUGUCACCGGGAAGAUGACCGAACUUGAUCAUUUA